UUGCAAUGAUGUGUUGAAUUUCUUCACCUGAAAUUCUGUGUGGAUCAAAAUUCGAGCUUUUUAAACCUGAGCAAG
ensembl:snoRNA SNORD36 Small nucleolar RNA SNORD36